CCACAGUCUCAAACACCUCUUAAAUCUUCCUCCUCAUUCUCUGUCUCCUCAUCGCCUUCGCUCAUCAAUGCUUCAUUUCCUCUGACUCUAAACUUUUCCUCAAGGGUCACACCCUCAUCCAUUGUUUCGCUUCUCUCCAAUCCGCUCUUGUUUCCUUCCUCUUUCUCAUCCUCUCCGUUUCUCUCUUAAUCUCCGAGUCAAUUUCUCUCCUUCCCUUCCCCUCUAAACUUUUCUUCGCUCUCGCUACCGUUGUUUUUUACCUCCAAUAUUCUAUCUCCUCUGUCGUUGCCUCUGUUCAUACCUCCCAUUCCCACGAUCGAUUGCGCCUGCACCUCGGUUGUGUGCCUGACUCGUGCACCAUGGGUCAUACCAAAUUGUGCGCCUUUGCUGUCUCCUUGGAUAGAUCGCAUCGAUUGUUGCCUCACCAACCUCCUUGCUCACGCGACUGCCUCUGCGCGCGUUCGUUGUUUUGUUGAUUGUGGGUUGUGGCUUGAUUGUUGUUUGUUUGUUAGAGCGGAUUUGUUUGAAUUGGUUGGGUUUGAGUUUGGGUUUCUGAAACUAGUUGUCAGUAGGACCAAGAUUUUAAAUGUUUGGACUCUAUGUGGUUUUAUCUAUACACAAUAUAAUCUCACAGAUUGAAGGUGCUAAAAUGGAUUAAGAAAUAAGAGAUAUUCUCAAAUAAGUAUGUAUUCAUUCCCAUUGUCUUAUGGGGUCACUAGAAUCUAUUGAACUUGUGAAACUUUGGUGGAAGAUCACGAUCACAACCUAUAACUCACUGCAUGUUAUUGCUAGAUUCAGUUCGAAUGGCUAACCGCCUAACCCAAUGGGGUUUGAACCUUUGUUAAGAAAGUUUGCCCUGGACAUUUAUGAAGCGGAAACAAUCCCUGAAAAGAAGGACAUGGUUGCUCAAAAUCCUCUCAUGGUGUCUGAGGUUCCUCAGCAAAGGAACAAAACUGAUUGCGGAUAUUUUGUCCUUUCUUAUAUAAGUAAGUUUGUGCAAUGUGUCCCAAUGAAUUUUUGCGUUACUAAGGGCUACCCUUACUUUGUAAGUUAUGUAGUCUUGCUU